GAUGAACGCUAGCGGGAGGCCUAACACAUGCAAGCCGAGCGGUAUUUCUUCUUCGGGAGAGAGAGAGCGGCGUACGGGUGCGUAACACGUGUGCAACCUGCCCCAAUCCGGGGGAUAGCCCUUCGAAAGGAGGAUUAAUACCCCAUAACAUAUUUAAUGGCAUCAUUGGAUAUUGAAAGCUUCGGCGGAUCGGGAUGGGCACGCGCGAGAUUAGAUAGUUGGCGGGGUAACGGCCCACCAAGUCUAUGAUCUCUAGGGGUCCUGAGAGGGAGAUCCCCCACACUGGUACUGAGACACGGACCAGACUCCUACGGGAGGCAGCAGUGAGGAAUAUUGGACAAUGGGUGAAAGCCUGAUCCAGCCAUCCCGCGUGAAGGAUUAAGGACCUAUGGUCUGUAAACUUCUUUUGUACAGGGAUAAACCUGUCCUUCGUGAGGGCAGCUGAAGUACUGUACGAAUAAGCACCGCUAA
rnacentral:rRNA from 1 species